GGAUAUUUCGCCAUCAUUUGAUGAAGCUUACCGCAGGAUUGAGGAGGAAGCAUUGAAGAGGAGGUCCUCAUGGAGUCAGGGGCAAUCAAGUUCUAACGUGCUUGCUGAGUCUAUAUCCAAGGAUACUGUUAGAAGUUCCACCCCUGGAUGUGUGAGGCAGAACAGGGUAGUUCACGCACCACCCACGGAUGACUAUGAGCCCGAAGCUCAUGUUCGGACAAAACCAAAAUCAUACAAUGUGAUGCGACAUACAUCGACAUGGGUAAUCUUGCUGAGAUCGUGAGGCCACUUGGUAAAAUGUCCAAGAAUGUAGUUGCGUGUGGGAUUGACUUCAUCAAUAGGCAUAUGGAGAUUUGUCCCGACAAGACGAUUAUGCAGUACAACAUGACCUGCAAAAUAUGGGAUGGUGACUUCCACCAUAAAAUCGCGAGGAAGCAUUUCACUGCGCAUGGUGAAUUCAAGCUCACACUGAAGAAAUAUGUCAUGUUCCCCAUGUUCCAGGAGCUUGCACCAGACAACCCAAAUGACAAGUGUGGUCACCAUUAUGCAAUUUGCCUUGACCUGAAGAACCAACGAUUUGAGGUGCUCGAUUCAAUGUGUUCAGAAGCUAAUGAGACCUUACUACACAUGCUGAAUUCUUUAUCAACAACCUGAAAGAGACAUGGAACCAUCAUUAUGAAAACUCAAGGGUCCAGAUUAGUCAUUUUCCAAUCGAGUAUGUCGCGACUACGAAGCAAGGAAACAGGCAUGACUGUGGAUUUCACACGCUGGAAUACCUUGCAAAGUGGGAAGGUCGACAGGUCCCUGUCAUCACAGUUGCAAUGGUCGUUGAGCUCCAUAAAAUAUACACAUGGAACUGGUUGAUGAAUGAAGAUUUCAACACGUGGGCAAACACAUGAGAGUUCAUAGAGGAAGCUGUGAAAAAGGCCAAUAAGAAGUACAAGUGAGCACGUGAUGCUCCAUACCGCAUGCCUACCUUACAAUAUGUGGCUGA